rnacentral:rRNA from 1 species
UACGUAGGGUGCGAGCGUUGCCCGGAUUUAUUGGGCGUAAAGCGCACGUAGGCGGUUCGUUAUGUCGGAUGUGAAAGCCCUUGGCUUAACCGAGGAAGUGCAUCCGAAACUGGCGAGCUAGAGUACGAAAGAGGAUCGCGGAAUUCCCGGUGUAGAGGUGAAAUUCGUAGAUAUCGGGAGGAACACCGGUGGCGAAGGCGGCGAUCUGGGUCGAUACUGACGCUGAGGUGCGAAAGCGUGGGGAGCAAACAGG